rnacentral:rRNA from 1 species
UACGUAGGGUGCGAGCGUUAAUCGGAAUUACUGGGCGUAAAGCGCGUGUAGGCGGCUUACUAAGUCAGAUGUGAAAUCCCUUGGCUUAACCGAGGAACUGCAUCUGAUACUGGUGAGCUAGAGUGUCGGAGGGGAUGGUAGAAUUCCUGGUGUAGAGGUGAAAUUCGUAGAGAUCAGGAGGAAUACCUGUGGCGAAGGCGACCAUCUGGAAGACAACUGACGCUGAGACGCGAAAGCGUGGGUAGCAAACAGG